rnacentral:rRNA from 1 species
AACGAACGCUGGCGGCAUGCCUAACACAUGCAAGUCGAACGAGACCUUCGGGUCUAGUGGCGCACGGGUGCGUAACGCGUGGGAACCUGCCCUUAGGUUCGGAAUAACUCCCCGAAAGGGGUGCUAAUACCGGAUAAUGUCUUCGGACCAAAGAUUUAUCGCCUUUGGAUGGGCCCGCGUUGGAUUAGCUAGUUGGUAGGGUAAAAGCCUACCAAGGCGACGAUCCAUAGCUGGUCUGAGAGGAUGAUCAGCCACACUGGGACUGAGACACGGCCCAGACUCCUACGGGAGGCAGCAGUGGGGAAUAUUGGACAAUGGGCGGAAGCCUGAUCCAGCAAUGCCGCGUGAGUUAUGAAGGGCUUAGGGUUGUAAAGCUCUUUUACCCGGGAUGAUAAUGACAGUACCGGGAGAAUAAGCUCCGGCUAACUCCGUG